CAUGAGUAUCUCUCGUGCUGCAAGGAUAUUCUGAUUUGGGGUUUGCAGUUUUUAUGCUUCUUUCACCUCCUGUUGUCCCCGCAGUUUUGCAUUAGUGAGUUUUUGUGCAAGGAUCUGAUUGGGGCCUUCUUAGCCUGCCCUAGGAAGGUGUCGGACAAUCUAUUAGAUGGGGGGUAGAGCUGUAAGUGGGAAAACCAAGGCUGGGUCUAGCCCUGGGGACAGUCUUGGCUAGGACCUUCCUGUGGUGUCCUCCACCCUCUGAAAUGACUCCUCCAUCCACCACCUAGAAACCCUUCUGGCACUGUGGCUUCCUUAGGGUUUGGGUUUCUUCUCCUCCUCGAGCUUCUGAGGGGAGAGGUUGCACAACGAAAUCAGAGGAUUACCUCACCCAGAGGGCGCAGCAAGCUCGCAGGUGCCCCGACACCCCUAAACGUGGCGCGUCCUCUCUUCCCUGCUCCCCUUGCCUAAUGAUGGAAGCAGCCCAAGCUGCCCUCACAGAGUGCACAUGUCCGCACUGUCCAUGUCGGCCACCCCACUGCAGUGGGGGGUGGGCCGGACCCUUGCCUGCCCUUCCUAAGCCGUUCCAGCCUCUUCCUCAGAAGAGACAGAUACCCCUCCAUUGAGCUCCGUGCCAGUCCUCGACCUUCCCAACCUUGCUGUUUGGCCUGCUGUCCUCUUUCCUCUUGAGGAGGAGAGAGGAGAGAGUAACUGGUAUAACAAGCACUGGUAUUUUUAUAUAAAAAAGAAAAACAAAACAGAAGAUUGACUUGUGAUCUGCAUGACAAAAACAAAUGGUGGUCUCGAAGCCGUGUGCACCCCGCUGUGUGUUGCCAUAAUGUGCAGUUCAGCUUACCAGCGCGGCCAAUCUGUAUUUGCAUUCUGAUAGUAUUUAAACCCUCUGUGCAGUGUUUUGCAUGUGUUUAUAUGAUUCUUAGGGAAAAAAUGCUAUAAACUGGCAAAUCUGAAAUUCAAAUAUGUUGUUCCACUGAGACAGGAAGAAUAAAAGAAGAAUUUUAAAAGAAGGAAAAAAGGGAUAAGUUUUUUGGAACCAAUAAAGCUUUUU
rnacentral:lncRNA from 1 species